AUUGAACGCUGGCGGCAUGCCUUACACAUGCAAGUCGAACGGCAGCACGGAUGCUUGCACCUGGUGGCGAGUGGCGAACGGGUGAGUAAUACAUCGGAACGUACCUUAUCGUGGGGGAUAACGCAGCGAAAGUUGCGCUAAUACCGCAUACGCCCUGAGGGGGAAAGCGGGGGACCGUAAGGCCUCGCGCGAUUAGAGCGGCCGAUGUCUGAUUAGCUUGUUGGUGGGGUAAAAGCUAACCAAGGCGAUGAUCAGUAGCUGGUCUGAGAGGACGAUCAGCCACACUGGGACUGAGACACGGCCCAGACUCCUACGGGAGGCAGGAGUGGGGAAUUUUGGACAAUGGGGGCAACCCUGAUCCAGCAAUGCCGCGUGAGUGAAGAAGGCCUUCGGGUUGUAAAGCUCUUUUGUCAGGGAAGAAACAGCAGCUCUAACACAGUCUGCGAAUGACGGUACCUGAAGAAUAAGCACCGGCUAACUACGUGCCAGCAGCCGCCGUAA
rnacentral:rRNA from 1 species